rnacentral:rRNA from 1 species
UACAGAGGUCUCAAGCGUUGUUCGGAUUCAUUGGGCGUAAAGGGUGCGUAGGUGGCGCGGUAAGUCGGGUGUGAAAUUUCGGAGCUUAACUCCGAAACUGCAUUCGAUACUGCCGUGCUUGAGGACUGGAGAGGAGACUGGAAUUUACGGUGUAGCAGUGAAAUGCGUAGAGAUCGUAAGGAAGACCAGUGGCGAAGGCGGGUCUCUGGACAGUUCCUGACACUGAGGCACGAAGGCCAGGGGGAGCAAACGGG